AAGAAAAGCUUGUUUCUCUCUCUUUGCACCCUUGUUCUUCGUCGUAGAUGGGCGCCUGCAUAUGAAAGAUGCAGGAGUCUCCGCCAUAAGCAUCAAGAGAUCUCCUUUAGAAACCUUUGUAGCAGCAAUGCUACCAAACCCAUUCCUUCUACUAAGAAUAGGAUGUUUCUUAAUCAAAUCUGAAUGAGAUAGUAUAAUAAAUCCAUUCUCUUUUAUCCUCCUGCCCUUCUCAACAAACCAUUCUUGGACCUGCUUGUAUGCCAAUCCCAAAGCCUUGGAUGGACAAAGAGGAGGAUAAAACGCCACCUACGCCUUCUACGUUGAUUUCACCGACUCAGGGAUAUUAUGGUCCUGGAAACCCGUACUACCCACCAUUUAUCAUACCUCGAAAUGCAUAUUCAAAUCCAUAUACAUAUACUUGGGGUAGUCAGCAUCCAUCGGUGCCACCUUUGGACCAAUGAUGCCCUACCCUCCAUCAAGUAAUUCGGAUGAGUCUACACGAGUUCAACAUACAUUCCACCCAACAAACACCAUCAGGCAAUGAUAAGAUGUGAGGUUGUGGUUGAAAUCAUUAUUCUAUUUUUUUAUGAAUUUCUUGAAGUAUUUUGUGAAAAUCCAGAGGCUUUCUUUUGAAGGUUGUGGUUGUAAAAAUGUACAGAUUUGUGGGCGUUCUACUUGUAUGAAAAUCAUUAUUCUAUUUUGAUGGCUUUCUUGAAGUAUUUUGUGAAAA